GACGAACGCUGGCGGCGUGCUUAACACAUGCAAGUCGAACGGAAAGGCCCUGCUUUUGUGGGGUGCUCGAGUGGCGAACGGGUGAGUAACACGUGAGUAACCUGCCCUUGACUUUGGGAUAACUUCAGGAAACUGGGGCUAAUACCGGAUAGGAGCUCCUGCUGCAUGGUGGGGGUUGGAAAGUUUCGGCGGUUGGGGAUGGACUCGCGGCUUAUCCGCUUGUUGGUGGGGUAGUGGCUUACCAAGGCUUAGACGGGUAGCCGGCCUGAGAGGGUGACCGGCGACAUGGGGACUGAGAUACGGCGCAGACGCCUACGGGAGGCAGCAGUGGGGAAUAUUGCGCAGUGGGCGGAAGCCUGAUGCAGCAACGCCGCGUGCGGGAUGACGGCCUUCGGGUUGUAAACCGCUUUCGCCGGUGACGAAGCGGGAGUGACGGUAAUGGGUAAAGAAGCACCGGCUAACUACGUG
rnacentral:rRNA from 1 species